AAAAAGGGAAAUAUUCCUAAAUAUCUCAUAACCUUUCCCUUAUAAGUGUGGCAUGUUACAUACCCAUAAAAGAGACUCUACUUAACACAACUUUGUGGACACCCAAUUGACCAUCGACUUAGGGAUCUGAUACCAACUUUGUCAUGACCCAAACUAAGGCCUGUCCAUGAAAGGUAUCUCAAGUUCACCAAAGACCGGAG
rnacentral:lncRNA from 1 species